GUUUUUAUAGUGUAAUCUAACACGUUACAUUUUCAUUGUAAAGCUGAAAGCUGCUCUUUCUAAAAAUU
rnacentral:tRNA from 1 species